rnacentral:rRNA from 1 species
UACGUAGGGUGCGAGCGUUGCCCGGAUUUAUUGGGCGUAAAGGGCGCGCAGGCGGCCACGCACGUCCGUUGUGAAAUCGCCCGGCUCAACUGGGCGGGGUCAGCGGAUACGGCGUGGCUGGAGCAAGCUAGGGGGCAAUGGAAUUCCCGGUGUAGUGGUGGAAUGCGUAGAUAUCGGGAGGAACACCGGUGGCGAAGGCGGCGACCUGGGUAGAUACUGACGCUGAGGUGCGAAAGCGCGGGGAGCAAACAGG